UAGGGAGGGGUGACUAGUGACAGAGUGAGGAAGGGGGUGACUAGUGACAGAGGGAGGGGUGACUAGGGACAGAGUGAGGGAGGUGGUGACUAGUGACAGUCACCACCUCCCUCACUCUGUCACUAUGUCACCCCCUCCCUCUGUCACUGGUCACCCACUCCCUCCCUCACUCUGUCACCAGUCAUCCCCUCACUCUGUCACUAGUCACCGCUUCCUUCCCUCACUCUGCCACUAGUCAUCCCUUCCC